rnacentral:sRNA from 1 species
AGCCCUUCAUGUCACCGCGCUUCCCAGGGGCCCCCCGCCCCACCCUGCGGAUGCCAAGUCAGGUGAGAAAGGGAUGAGGGGAGGGCGGGCAGGAGCUGGGCCGGGGAGGGAGCACCCCACACUCAGUGCCGCCGCACCCCCUCCGCAGCCUCCCGCAGGCCUCCCUGGCUCCCAGCCCCUCCUCCCUGGCACCAUGGAGCCCUCCCCACGAGCCCAGGGGCAUCCGAGCAUGGGCGGCCCAAUGCAGAGGGUGACGCCUCCUCGAGGCAUGGCCAGCGUGGGGCCCCAGGUAAGAGUGGAGCCCUGGUGGGUGGGGACUUCGGGCUGUCCCUGGUCUGCCCCUCACAGCCCCUUUGCCUCCGCAGAGCUAUGGAGGCGGCAUGCGACCCCCACCCAACUCCCUUGCCGGCCCAGGCCUGCCUGCCAUGAACAUGGGCCCAGGAGUUCGUGGCCCGUGGGCCAGCCCCAGUGGAAACUCGAUCCCCUACUCCUCCUCAUCCCCUGGCAGCUACACGGGACCCCCAGGAGGAGGUGGGCCCCCUGGAACACCCAUCAUGCCUAGCCCUGGAGAUUCCACCAACUCCAGCGAAAACAUGUACACUAUCAUGAACCCCAUCGGGCCGGGCGCCAGCAGGGCUAAUGUGAGUGGGGGCUUUCGGGGGUGCUUCUCGAGGCGGUGACCCUAGUUGGGGAAUGGG